rnacentral:tRNA from 1 species
GGGCGGUUGGCGCAGUUGGUAGCGCAUCACUUUGACAUAGUGGGGGCCACUGGUUCGAGUCCAGUACCGCCCA